AGGAGGUGGGGCCUUUGAGAAGUUAAUAAUUUAUGAGGGUCCCACCCUCAUGAAUGGGAUUUAGUGCCCUUAUAAAAGAGGCUUGAGAGAGCUCCCUUUCCUCCCUUGCCAUGUGAGAACACACAGAGGCAUCGUCCUUGAAGAAGGCCCUCACUAGGCUGAAUUGGGGCACCUUGAUCUUAGACUUUCCAGCCUCUAGAACUGUAAGUAAUAAAAUUCUGCUGUUUAUAAAUCACUCAGGCUGAUUUUUUUUUUUAUAGCAGCCAAAGCUAACCAAGACCCCACCCAAAGAUACCUGCUGGGGAGCUACUUAAAAUACUAAUCUUUAAACUAUUAUUAAAAUGUAUUAUGAAGGAGAAAUUUGUACUCCCUAGUACAAAUUUUGCAUCAGGGAAAAUAUUGUACUGAUUCGAAGGAACAUUUUGGUAUACCACUUGAAGGUGGAAUUCGACUUCUAAAAGUCAAGAAUGAAUCACAACUAACCAUUUUUUUAAGGUUUUCUUGUGAAUUGGCUCCUGAUGUGCUUUACUACUCCUUCAUGUAAAAGACAUAACCAAGUGUAAAGAAUCCUGCCAUCUCCCUCACAAUAAUCAACUCUAAUUCUCAAAAGCUGAUAAAGAAAGGAGCAUCCUCCUAGCAUGAAGCACAUGGAAUCACAAAGAUUUCUUGAAGAUAACGUGAAGCUCAUGGGACUGGAAUCUGUUUAAAUUAUCCAAUUCUUUCCAAACAAGAAAGUUCAUGGGACUCUUCCACAAUCAGUAAGAAAGUUUUGAAUUGACUAUUGUAUUGGCUCAUUUUAAUAUGUAAUGUAAUUGCUGACUUUUUUUAAUUCUGGUUGUUCAUUUUACUUGUCCCUAAUCUUUUAAAUAUCUAGUUCUAGUUCUUGAGAAUGGCUAGGAUCUCAUACAUGGUGGUAUAAUUAUACAUACUUUUAAUUUUUUAAAGUUUAAUUUGCCCUUUAAAGAUAAUUAUUCUUGCUUCUAAUAUAAUCUCAUUCUCAAUCAAAUUUAGAAGCCAAAGUAAUAUGCCAAUAUCAUUUGGACUGCGAUCUAAACUUGCAUUCAAGUGUACUGCAGAGAGAAAAGCCAAGGCUCUCAGGAGUAAAUAUUGAUUCUUUGGAGGACACCCAAGACACCAAAAUAAAGUUCUGAGAAGAAUUAUACAAACUAAAUAUGCAGGAGACAGGAUAGUUACUCUGAUCAAAUAAGAAUUUGAAUGAGUGCCGUUGAUUGGAACCUCAAAGGACAUACCCCACCACUGUGGGAAAGUUUCACCUCCCUAGAGCAGAGGUCACAGGUUCCUCCUUAACUUGGGCCUCAGUGCCCACUGCCUGGAACUGCUAUUUAUUUUUUCUACACAUACUGCUUUUCCCUGGCUAGGUUAGAUGCCCCUCAUGGACAGGCUGUUUCUGUAACUCCAAUUUCUAGCCUGCACAAUGCCUUAGAUGUCAUUGAAAAGCAAUACAGCUCUGUUGUGAAAAUUUAUGCAGAUGAAAUGAAUCGUAGCUCCUGCAACUUAUGUUGACUCGCUUAGAAAAAAAAGUAGAAUGAUGACUUCAGAAUUAUAAGAGAAUAGAAGAUGUUACAUUUCUAAAAUGCUUUUUAUGUAUUUGAUCUAAAAAUAUUCAAACUUAAAUGAGAAGUAAAACUUAUUUGCACUACAAGCAACAUAACAAACAUCAUAUUCUGAGGAAAGGUAAUUUCAUCCAUCAACCCAUAGCUUCUCACAAAAGAACUCAGACAUCCUGCUUUCUGUCACAAAUAUUAAUACUUUUAUAAAAAGGAAACAGAUUAAUAAUAUAACAAAUCUGUGCAGAAUGUGUUUCAUUAAUUUUCCAGGAAGGCAGCAUUGCAGAAUUACUUGAGAGUCAAGUUUAACCUUAUUUUCUACUAUGUACUUACUGUUGUUCCAAAACAUGAUCAAUUUAUUUUCUGCAAGACACUGAGCAUUGCUGCUAAAACAAGAUUGAUUCCGAAUCUCUCCAAAGUAACUGCUUCUUUUAUUUUUAUUUUUUAUCAAUGUUAAUGAAACCACAGUGUCUUGGCAAAAUUCAAUUUAAGAUCCUUUUUCCACCUGGAAUGUUUUGGGCACUUAAAAACCUUAGACAUUUCUGGAACAUGAGUUAGAAGAAUAUUUUUUUCUACAGUAUUGUUUUAAAAUAAUAUUCUAAAAAGAUGUUAUUUAAAUGAUAUUCUAAAAGGAUUAUUUUUUAAGGGGAGAGAAGAAUUACUCUAUUUUCAUACAAAUCCUCCACAGGGAAAUAGACAAUAAUGACUGUUCUCGAGGAAUUUUUGCGGUUAUUUUUGCUCACAAACAAUCUAAAGUGGAACAUGCUAUUAGAAUACUUUCAGUACUGUGUGGUAAAACUAGUAUUUACUGAAAAACUAAAAUGAAAGGUUUAUUUUACUAGUCAGGCUUACAAAAUAAAACAUCCUUAGAAAAUGCAUUUCAAAAUAAAUCUCAUGAAAUGGAUAUUUUGCCUUUGCACAAUGAUCUUUUAAUUUUAGUAAAUAUUUAACUUGCCACAGAAUAGUAGCAAAAUAUACUGUCAUCACCAUUCGUUCAGGUUUCUAUCAAUUUAUUAAGCACCUACUUUACGCUAGGGAAUAUAAUAGAUUCUAUCUAUUCUAUAAUUAUGUCUACUUUUACAAGUUACUAUACAACUAUUCUUUUCCAGCUAAAGCAAAUAUUUCUCUAAUCCCAAAUCAUGUGAAUGGUACUUUUAAAAAAAUUCUUGAAGAUUAAAAAGUUUGUGCUGUUUUGGAUGAUUCCUUUGGGCACAGUAUAUUUGCUUAGUAUUCAUACGUAUUUAAAACUUUUUAAAUAUCCAUGAUACUACACAUUAUGGAUGUAGCUUUAUUGUUAUGGUUAUUAAAUGAGCAUUAUUUAACAAAAUAUUAAUAGGAUCAGUAUUCUGAGGGAUUGCUUAUAUUUACAUAAUUUGUUUCUGAACAUAUCUCCAUUCGGUUACUGAAAAUUUAGCAUCAGAUAGAUGUUUUAAAUAUAAACCGGUGAUGAGCUAAUCUUUUCAAGAGUCAUAUGACAUUAAUGUAUUCCAGGAUUUAGUUUUAGAAGAAUAUUAAAACUUAGGCUUCUGCUCUCAUUAAUACCUCUAGUAAGAAUUCAUUUUUCUUUUGUCCUAGUUCCAUUAUCUUUAGUUUGAGCAGUGCUAAAAUCUUCCUCUUACAGUGUAUGUCUAUAUAUAUGAUUGUGUGUGUGUCGUGCAUGUGUAUGACUGUGUAUUGAGCAGUAUAUAGUAAUUGAGAGUAUGGGUAUGAAAUACAACAGAUAUGUGUUUUGAUUCAUCAUUUCCAGACUUUGAGGUUAACCAAUUUAUUUAUUUAUUAUUAUUAUUAUUUUGGAGAUGGAGUUUCACUCUUGUCACCCAGGCUGGAGUGCAAUGGUGUGGAUCUUGGCUCACUGCAACAUUUGCCUCCCAAGUUCGAGCGAUUCUCUUGCUUCAGCCUCCCGAGUAGCUGGGAUUACAGGCGCCCACCACCACGCCCAGCUAAUUUUUGUAUUUUUAGUAGAGACAAUGUUUCGCCAUGUUGGCCAGGCUGGUCUUGAACUCCUGACCUCAGGUGAUCCACCUGCCUCGGCCUCCCAAAAUGCUGGGAUUAUAGGCGUGAGCCACAGCUAAAUUAUUCAAGUUCGUUAGCCUUAUUUUUGUCAACUGUAAAAUGGGAUGGUAUAAGCUAUUGUGUUGUAAUAUGUUAGAUCCAUGUCACAUAACUUCAAUAAACAGGAGCUAUUUAUUUUAUGUUAACAAAUGUUCUCCUCAUACUUAUUGUUGAUUUUUGAUGAAAUAUUUUAUUUAAUCACAGUAAAUGUCUAAUAAGUAUUUCUUAAGCUGAAUGCCUUGGAUCACAUUUCUAGGUGAAAAAAGAAUCAUUAGCAACUGAAAGCCUUAAUUACUCAAUCACUGAUGGCUGUACAACAUAUCUGCUAUCAAAAUGCCACAUUUUCUGUAAUAUAUUUAAAUCCAUAAUUGUUUCAUAAAUCUUCCUGUAGAAAACAUUUAAAAAGUUACAUAAUCUCAGCAUCUAGAUUUUAUUUUUCAUUGAUAAUUAAUACAAGAAUGAAAAUAUCUCUGUUGCAAAAGAGAUCAGUUCUGUAACAACCCAGAUUAGCAAAAAAUAUAAACAUAAGUUUCAUGUCUUGUUUCAAAAAAUGUACAAAGAUAUGCAAUUCACUCAAUGUUUAUGCCUUUAAAAUUAACGUCUAAAGCAAUCUGACUUUGCAAAUUAAGUGGGAAGAGUUUUUGAAACAAUAUGCUUAUUUUAACCAAAGUCUAAUAUACUGAAAAAGGUGAUUAGUUGCCAUUGAAAACAGUAGUCCAGGCAACAGGAUUUAGUGGCAUCUGUGUAAAACAAUUCAGUGACUAUAUUCCAGUGUUCUCAUUAGUUCACUUCUAAAAAAAUACAUUUUAUUAGCUAAAAACUGCUUAUUGAUCUCAAAAAUAGUAUUUUAAACAGUGGUCAUAGGUGCUUUGGUAGCCCACAGAAAGGAUAUAGCAAAACUAUAGAACUUAGAGGCAAAUUUGGAGAAAAUAAUUUGCUAACGUUAACAACAUAUAAUGGGCAUGCAAUUCAUGCAGACCUAUAUUUCCCAACUAGGCAUUCGGGCUGUGCAUAAAAUUAUUUAGAUAAAGAUAUUAUGUAACAGUAAGUAUUUUGUUAAAGUGUAAAGGCAUAACCUUAAAGUCAUGGUUAGCACCCUUUAAAGAGAAAAAAGACCUGUCAUAUUCCAGACCAUCACUGAGAACUACAACUGCAUUAUAUAAGAAAUCAAGAAAAAGAUAUAUAAACCAAAAUAGGUCCACUAUUUCAAUAUGUGGUUAAGGUCACUUUCAUUAUGUUCUCUAGAUGCUUGUGUGCUGGUUUAUGACUACCUGGAAGAGAAAAUGUUUCUUCCUAGGCUUAUUUGUGUCUGAAUUAUCCAUAUCUUUUCUGGUUGGCAAUCCAUAUCAUAGGCACAGUAGCAUAUCAGGGUGGAAAUAAAGCACGAGUGUUUCUAGCCUUGGUCCUUAAAUGCUAUUUUGUUACAACACAUGCUUUUAUUCCCUAAUUCUGGGAUACUGGAGUUUCCUAUUUUCUCCUGUGGCUCAAGACUUUUUCUUCUAUCUUCAUUUAUAUUUUUAUAUUUUACUGUUAUCUUUACACCAUUGCACAAUAACCAAAAUCCUGAUUUAUCUUUCACAAUUUAAGCAGUACAUUUUAUAUAUAGUAUAGGUUUUAUUUCAUUUUGUUUUUUCUUUUUGGUUUUUGGUUUUGGUUUUCUUUUAUUUUUACAAUUCUCUCCAAUCCCAGAAAUUAAGGAGUCUAUAACUUUAUCUUGAGCGUCUCUGAUAUUGCACAUGGGAUUUGAUCAUAAACUAAAAAAAAAAAAAAGUUAAGUCAAAUAGAGAGGGUGAAAACACAAUGCAAAGAAUAUGUAGGACUUCAGUAUUUUGCCUAGAAUCACUUAUCUCUAAUUAAAAAUGUAUACAAAUGAAGUAGCAUAUUAGUGCAUUACCUUUCUCAUAUAACAAGGCAUAGACAUGGCCAGGAUUAAAUUGGCAGCUAGGUUGCAUCAUCAGGAACUGAAAUGCUUUUAUCUUUCUAUUUGGCAUCAUCAACAAAUUAGCAUUUGCUCUCAGGCUUAGUCACUCUGCUCACACCAUGGCUGCAUUACUCUAGCUAUCAAGUUUUCACACAAAUAUGUCAACAUGUGAGAAAGAAAAUAUUUCCUUCUGCCUGUCUUUCUGAGAAAUCCCUGUGUGGUCUUCCUCUCAGGUCCCAUUGGCCUGGAUAAAGUUACAUGCUUAUUAUCCUGCUGUAAACUGAACUAUGUCCUUUCCAAAAUCCAUAUGUUGAAGCUCUAAACCACAUGACUAUGUCUGGAGAUAGGGCCUUUAGGGGGCAAUUGAGGUUAAAUGAGAUAAUAAGGGUGAGGCCUGACCUAAUUGGAUUGGUGGCCUUCUAAGACGAGAAAGAGAGGGAGAUCACUCUUUCUCUGUGAGCAUCCACCAAGGAAAGACCAUGUGAGCACACAGGGAAGGAGGCAACUUUUCGUGUACAGCUUACGAGGCAAGCCGUCACCAGACAUCAAUCCUGUUGGCAUCUUAAUAUUGGACUUCCACGAUCCAAAACUGUGAAAAAAUAAAUUUAUAUUGUUUAAGCUACCCAAUCUAUGGUAUUUUCUUAUAGCAACCUGUGUAGACUAAGAGAAAUCUUAACUUCACAAAAGGCUGAGGAAGCAUGAAAACUCUCUGGCAUUUUCAGCUUUUAUGUGGAAGUUGGUCUCUGUCAACAAACCAAAAGUAGAGUUUACGAACUAGCCAUAACUUAAAAAAAAGAGACAGAGAGAGACAACAGACUCAGAAAAUGCUUCAGAUUAAACAGUAUUGUGUGUGUGUGUGUGUGUGUGUGUGUGUGUGUAUUAAUCCUUAUUAUUCCAGAAGUCAAUUGGGAGGAUAGUGAACAUAUGCCUGAGAGGAGAAGGGUUGUAGCAGGCCUUGGAUGUCUUCAGCCUAGCUCCAAAAUAGGGAGCAUGAACUUGGUAUUUAAUAGAAAGAGAAAACCUUAUUUCACUAUUCUACAACCCAUUUUAAUUCUAGGGCUCUACAUUCCCCUUAAUGACCAGCCUGGUAUAAUUGGGAGGUGUGAACUCAGAAAUGCCUCUCAGAAGGAACCUUCUUGAUUCAACUUGAAGCUGUCAAUACCAUGUGACUCUGCCCAUGAACUUUCUACGAUUCAGACUGUUAGGUUCAGUGGUGUUUUAAGUUCCUGAUCCCUGUCCUGCAGUAUUAGACACAACAAAUAUCCAAAAUCCUAGAGAAUUUUCCUAUCGAUAAAAAAAUUCAAAAUAGUCUAAAACAAAUACAAUGAGGAAACAAAGGUUAUAACCAGGUGGUUCAUUUUAAAACAUAAGAAAACGUCAAGGAGAAGGUAGCAACAACAGUUAACUCAGAAGAAUCCAGGGCAUUAAAUUACUUGCCUCUUUCCUGAGGAGCCUGCAAUAUUCUUUAAGUUUUAUUUAAUAAAUGGUCAUGUUCAUUCUUAUUCUUCUCCUUUUUUCCCCAUUUAAAUCUAUGCUUGUCAUCCAUUACAGCUUGAUUGUCCCUCUAUGCUGAGGGCUGCAACACAAUCUUUGUAAUUUUCUCUACAUUCUACUCUGGCUGAGGAGUGGUGCUGGAUGGUGAACCCUACCUGGGCAGUUUCAAGACUUUUUAGUGCAAGAGAAAACACUGCUGCCAGGCUUGCACCAAUAUCCUAUCAGCGGUGCCAAUUCACUUUGGCUUUGAGGUUGAUUUGAACUGAGAGUCAUUUUCUUGCAUAUAUUAAAUAUUUUUAAAUGGAUGUAGGUCAGAGAACACUUUAUUGCUAGACAUUAGUAAUGGUUGGUAAGACAUUGAAAAAAAAUUUUCAUUAACCCAAAAGUUUAAGUUCUAAAAGCAAUUCUAGACAAGCGUACAAAAUCAUAUGCAAAAAGAUACUCAUUUCAAUGUUGCUCAUGAAACAUAAAAGUAUAAGCUAGUAUGCAUCAAAAAUAAAUUAUAUCUAUGCAAUGAAAUACCAGUGCAAAAAAAGGCAAUAUAUUCUAUUAAGUUGUACACAGAUAUUAAUGGUAAUUUGAGUGCUCAACAUGUGCAGAUAUUGUAAUAUUCCUAAUAAAAACUAAUACACAUGAAAACAUUGAGAAAUAGUAAAAUUACAUUACUUCCUUAAGGUCACGGAGCUUAAACUUGACUAAAAGAAAGUUUGAACCUAGUUCUAUGUAACUCCAGAUAGAGAUCUAUUAAUUCCUUCAUAAGACCACAAGAGCUGCUAGAUCUUCAAAAUAUUCCUCACUAAUGUAACAACUUUAACCAGUUUGCAGUUGAUCAAAGCUGUUUUUUUUAAGUAUCAUGAUUUUUACACUGUCAUAAUAUUAUUCACAGUUGGGACGAGAUAUUGGGGAAAUACGGUCCUGGGCAUAAAAAGGACCAAGAACCAAUAAAAUGUAAGCAAUUUGGAACCAUAAAUCUAGAUAGAAAAUAAAGGGAACAAUGCUGUUGGUUAAUGAAGUAUGCACAAAACACACAACAUAAUAUGAGGGUAGAGGAAAGAAGAUAGUUUUUAAGUGUGGUAGAAAGAGAAAUAUGCUUCUCCUUUGUGUACAAAGACAGGUGUUUCUCUUGAAGUCAGUGGCACUACAGACAUGGCCAAUGUACACAUUGGAUUUUCCAAGAAAGUUCCCAAUAUACGUAAGUUUAUUGUUUUCAAUUAGAGUAGCUCAAUGAAAAUUACAACUAAAUAUCUGUUUCUAAUGGUUGAAAAGUUUUCAAAUGCAGAUAAUUUUACAAUCAGAAAAAUAUUUUGUUAGAACAAUUAUUUUACUUUGAAUUUUGGAAAAUAUAGGAACUAUAAUCAGAAAAUUUUGGUUUAGCUACCUAUUUAUUAGGAUGAUAAAAGUAAUAUGGAUGACUUGGUUGUUUCUAGAUUAUCCAGCCUCUGCAGCUAAAUUUUCCCAGGGCUUUAUGAACAAGAAUAUCUACUAAUAAUAGCAAUAAUAGCAAUGAUGAUGAAGCUAAUUAAAAAAAAACCAGAACAAGAAAAUAUAUGAAUUGAAGCUUUCCUUUUUGCAAAGCUCUGUGAUAAGCACUUUUCAGGUAUUUUCUCAAGCAGAUAGUGCACAUAUAUCUUAGAGAAUGUAUACAUUUUUUGCCAUGUUACAAAACAGUAAUCUUAUUUGGAGAAACUACAUAACUUGCACUAAGUAACACAACUGUUAAAGGCUAAACAGAGACUCUUUCUCUCCAGUUCGUUUGAUUCCAUAUCCCUUGAUCCCCAUGCCUCUAGAAGAGUAAGACGUGCGUUAUAUAAAUAUAUAAUAGUAAACAUGAACAAAUCUAGAGGAAGGAAAGCCAGCCUUUACUUGUUACUCCAGAGUUGAGGGUCUCCUUUUGAAAGAAAACGUGCAGACACUGCUGACUUGUGAUCUUUUGACUGGGAUGCAGUAUGGGAAUAUGACUAGCACCUAAGUAAAAACUCUAUGCCCCUGGCCAGGCACAGUGGCUCACGACUGUAAUCCCAGCACUUUGGGAGGCCGAGGCAGGUGGAUCACAAAGUCACGAGUUUGAGACCAGCCUGAUCAACAUGGUGAAACCCGGUCUUGAAACCCGGUCUCUACUAAAAAUACAAAAAAUAGCUGAGUGUGGUGGCACUUGCCUGUAAUCCCAGCUACUCAGGAGGCUGAGGCAGGAGAAUUGCUUGAACCCAGGAGGCGGAGGUUGAAGUAAGCUGAGAUCACACCACGGUACUCCAGCCUGGGCGACAGAACAAGACUCCGUGUCAAACAAACAACAAACAAAAAACUCGGUGCCCCUUGCUGGCUUUAUGCCUUCAGCAAGAUGUACUCUGCACCAUACUUACCUCUUCAAUAAAAUAAAAAAGGGUAAUAAUUGCCUGUUUCUUAGGAGCAAAUGCAAUAUUAGGGGUAUAUAAUUUAAACAAUAGUUCAUAUGCAUAAUAAAAACUCAAUAAAUUAUUGAUAAUACUGUUCUUAUAUUGCAGCCUAUUGCAUGAUUAUAUUUUCUUCUUUAUCUGAACUUGAAUAAAAUAGUGCUUUACCUUACAACUUGAGGAAUGAUAAUCCUUGCAAGGGACAACUCAUCUUUCAUUACAUGAGCUUGAAAAAUCACAGCACCAGAUGCUCCACACUUACAGUGAGUCUCUACUAUAUACAAAACACUGGCCCUGGCAUUGGAGCCUCAUGAAUGAAAGACAAACAGCUUCCUUAACUUUAUGGACAUUUCAGUAUUCUGUGUGGUGUGGUAUGUUUCACAGCAGGAGGGAAUUGAAAGAAUGUGAGACACAAGACCUACUUUUGGGGCUUAGGUUUCAGAAGACAAAAUAAUCACCAAUGAAACAGAGAGUGUCCUGGUGCUAAGCCAUUAACUUUAAACACAACAUUCAGAGAAAAUUAGAAUGUAGGAGAAAACCUCUAGGAGGAAUCUCUAGAAGAGGAAAAUCUAAAGAAAUGUGAAAUGUAAUGAUACUCAGCCUAAAAAUAUUUUAAUGUUUAAAUUUAGUAUACACUUUUUUCAGACACACAAAAGUAUAUGAUGACCAUUAUAUGCUUGCCUCUCAGCUGAGUGUUAUCAAUACCAGUUGACGCUGCCUUUGAACACAUUUCUGCUGCAUCAUGUGAUUCUUACAGAUGUAUAAGUCUGGACAUCUAUGUAAUGUACUAGAAAUAAAACACUUUUAAUGAUGUCAUAAACAAGAUUACUUACUUGCAUGAUAUGCAUAAACAGAUAUGCUCUGCUGCUGCAACACAUCCCCAUGUAGGGUACACGUAUAGCUGAUUUGUGACCUCUGGUAUAGCUCUACAGUUUAGAACCAAGGGGAAUCUACCUGUAUUUUGCUAGUGUACUAGACACUUUCUCACAUAUUAGCUUAUUUAAUUCUCACAGGUAUUUUAUUUUUUCCAAUUUUCAGAUAAGAAAACUGUACCUCCUGUGAGAUGCUGUCCAGGGUCACAUGAGUAAGCAGAAGAGCUGGGUUUCUACUCAGUCCUUCUGACCACAAAUUUACUUCAGUGUCUCUGUCCCAGUCCUGAUGCUAUUCAGAGAUGUGAUAACAUUUAGGUUCCGUGAUAAUCCUACAUGGGUUUCAAAUACUGGUUUUAACAAAUGCUGUGUGUGUUACUUUGAGCAAGUUACUUGAACUCCUUAGGUUUAACUUUUCUAAUUUUCAAAGUAGAAGGAAUAAUGAAAACUAUGUAUUAAGAAUAUUCUAAAUAUUUCACGGAGCCACUUAUUAAAAGUAAUUAGCAUUAUCCCAGACACAUAGUAAAUGCUUAAUGAUAAUAGUUAUGAUUGAUAUUUCUUUUGUGAAGGUGAUUUUAAAGCUCUACAGCAAAAUGUACAAGGCUGACACUUGGAAUUUCUAUGUAAAUGAGUUGGCUUUGGGAGGCAAAUAUAGUGGAUGUUGGUUAUGACCAACUGUCAGAGAGCAUCUGCUGCCUGCAUGGAGCUGGGCUGUCCUUUUCUCUAUGAUUAAAUAGCCCAGAACCUUGAAAACUGAGGUCUCCUCCUUAUUCCACAAUGACUGCAUUAAAAUCCUUCUCUUUCCUCUAGGGACUAGUCAGUUCAGUCUUAUAACGACUUUCAAAAUGCUGGAGAAAGGUUUGGCUUCCUGGAAAAAAUUAUACUAAAGAGUAAACGCAUAGAAUUAAAAGAUAUCAUCUUCUUUGAUAAAUACAAAGUUAAAGCUGAAGGCUUCCUUUACUACCACUCCACUACCAUCCUGUAACCUAAUCCUCUGACAUAUUUCCCCUCCCACAAGAAGAGGAACACCGAAUCUGAACUAGAAACAAUCACUUUU
rnacentral:lncRNA from 1 species